rnacentral:rRNA from 1 species
UACGUAGGGUCCGAGCGUUGUCCGGAAUUACUGGGCGUAAAGAGCUCGUAGGUGGUUUGUCGCGUUGUUCGUGAAAACUCACAACUCAAUUGUGGGCGUGCGGGCGAUACGGGCAGACUGGAGUACUGCAGGGGAGACUGGAAUUCCUGGUGUAGCGGUGGAAUGCGCAGAUAUCAGGAGGAACACCGAUGGCGAAGGCAGGUCACUGGGCCGCAACUGACGCUGAGGAGCGAAAGCAUGGGGAGCGAACAGG